UACCAGCACCCCGAGUGGUCGGGACGUUUAUUGGGCCUAAAGCAUCCGUAGCCGGUUCUGCAAGUCUUCCGUUAAAUCCACCUGCUUAACAGAUGGGCCGCGGAAGAUACUACAGAGCUAGGAGGCGGGAGAGGCAAGCGGUACUCGAUGGGUAGGGGUAAAAUCCGUUGAUCCAUUGAAGACCACCAGUGGCGAAGGCGGCUUGCCAGAACGCGCUCGACGGUGAGGGAUGAAAGCUGGGGGAGCAAACCGG
rnacentral:rRNA from 1 species